rnacentral:rRNA from 1 species
GACGAACGCUGGCGGCGUGCCUAACACAUGCAAGUCGAACGAACAAGCGCGUGCCUUUUUCGUGGGUGUGGAUGAGCGGCGGACGGGUGAGUAACACGUGAGUAUACCUCCCCGAUCUUCUGGAUAACCGCAAAACAGUGCUGCUAAUGCGGGAUAUAUUGAGUCUCUUGCUUCACGGGUCUGGGAAAGUUUUUGUUUCGGUGAUGGCUGGGCCCGCGGCCUAUCAGCUGGUUGGUGGGGUGAUGGCCUACCAAGGCGGUGACUAGUAGCCGGCCUGAGCGGGUGGACGAUCACACUGGGACGGAGACACGGCCAAGACUCCUACGGGAGGCAGCAGGGGGUAAUACGGCACGAUGGGCGGGAGCAUGAUGCAGCGACGCCGCGUGAGGGAUGGAGGCCGUCGGGGUGAAAACCGCUGUUGCGAGUGAAGCAGGCCUGCCUCGUCUGUGGGUGGGUUGACGGUAGCUGGAUAAGAAGCGCCGGCUAACUACGUG